AUUGGUGGCUGGAGUUCAGGAAGUUCAGCUGCUUCUUGUGCGUUUGUGUAGCUGUGUUACGGUCAUUGUCUGCAGUCAGUCAGGUUGUAACACCAGUGCUGUCGGGUUCCGUUUGUUCUGGUGACUUCAGAUAAGCACUGGGAGCCGGACUGACAAACAUCAGCAGCCCAGGGUGGGAUCUGUUCCACUGGGUCCAAAUGCCUGCAGUUCACCUGAUGAUCAAGAUCCUGCUGCUCCUCUUCAUCACCUCACAUGUCAGUGCAUUUAAAGUGAAGGUGACACAGAGACACUAUGAGGCAAAAGAGAACAGCAACAUCACACUGGAGUGGACGAUCACCACAGACAAUGAGACUAAGACUGAGGACAUUCAUGUCCUCUGUGAUCAUUUUACCAAACAGAAAGUAUCAGUCCUGUAUCUGGUCCAUGCUGGUGUUGAGCUCUCAGAGUCUGUGGAUGAAGUUUUUUCAGGAAGAGUCCAGAGUAACACAGACGCCCUCAGAGAAGGACGAAUCAGACUUCAUCUGUCCAGACUCAGGACUGAAGACUCUGGUCUGUAUGUGUGUUCAGUGAGGACAGCUUCUGGUUCUGGCUCUGACAUAUGUGGUCUCAAUGUUAUUGCAGCAGCAUUUGAAGUGAAGGUGACACAGAGCUCCUAUCAGGCAGAGGAGAACCACAACAUCACACUGGAGUGGACGUUCCCAGCUGAGGUCUCCACCAUCAGGAUUUUCAUCUACUGUGAAUUUUUAAAAGAAAGAAAUAUAUUCUGCCUGUAUGAUGUCUACGAAGGUUUCGAGAAGCCAGGCUCUCAGCAUAAACGUUUUUCAGGAAGAGUCCAGAGUGACACAGACGCCCUCAGAGAAGGACGAAUCAGACUUCAUCUGUCCAGACUCAGGACUGAAGACUCUGGUCUGUAUGUGUGUGAUGUGAGGACAGCUUCUGGUUCUGGUUCUUCCAGCUGUGAGCUCACAGUCUCUGCAGCUGCUGCUCAGACACACACUGACAGACCAGCUCUGAGUCCAGCUCUGGGUCCACCAGCAGGGAGAGGAGGACAGACAAGACACCAUUAUGGACCGAUAGUAGCAGGAG
ensembl:lncRNA